ACCCACGCCUAUAAAAUCCCUCCCUUUCACUUCCGACGACCCAACACAAACCCGUUUUAUCCGGCUCCGGCGAGUGCGUUUCCGGCGGCAGCAUGUUCUCCAUUGGAGGAGUCACCACGGCGACGGCCAGUCGCAGCAACGUUCUUGAAGCACAUUUGGAACACUCUGACACUGGCUUGGUGCUGCAGGGGUGCACGCUCUUGCAGUUCUUGAAGAAGACGAUGAAGGUGAAGUAGUGAAACAAUUGACAACAAUUGAUGCACCUGGAGGUUUUCUUUAUGAGUGGUGGCCUAUCUUCUGGUACAUAUUCAUCUCGAGGACAAAUGAGAAACAUUCUGAGGCUGGUUCAGCUUUAUAUUAAGGUGAUCCUAUUGUGUAUACUUGGGCAUCUUAUAUGGAUUUGCAUGUUAGCAGACCCAGCAAACAAAGGUCAGCUUCAAAUGCAGCAAUUGCAACUAAUGCAGUAGUGCAGUGCACCCUUAAUUAAACGCCAUGAACUCUUCAAGGAAUGUGGAGCCGACAUCCAGGUGCCCACCAGCUAUUUUCCUUGAAAUAAAUAUAUCUGACAAAAUUUAUGGCUACCCGUAGCAAGGCAGAAAGGACUUGAUUCCUACUCACGAAUUAACAUCUAAAGGUAUGUUAACAUUUCUCUCAAUGGACAUUCUAAUCUAGUUUGAGUGUGUUUUUUUUGUUAAUCUCUAUCUCUUAUUGGAAAAAAGGUACUCCCUCCGCCCUCAUUUAUAAGUCACAUUUUUUAAAUUUUUUUUGUCUUUAAUUAUAAGUCACUUUGUAAUAUCAAUGCAACAUUUUUUUUUUCCAAUACUAACCUCAUAUUUAAGAUGAAAGAGGUAGUUAUAUUUGAAAAAUUUUAAAUUGAAGAGAGAAAUUUUAAGGGUGACAUUGAAAAGUCAAUGUUUUUUUCUUACAAAUUUAUUAAUUUUAACUAAUUUUUUUAAUUCAAGAAAAGUGAUUAAAAGUGACUUAUAAUAGAGGACGGAUGAAGUAUUUAUAAUUUUAACCCAUUUGAACAUAAAUAUAUACACAUUAAACUUUCAUGGACAUUUCUGAAUGGAAGUUCACAUUGAAACACAAUGUAUAUUUCUAUAUGAGUAAUGUAAUGGACACACAUUCCCAAAAUAUCAUUGUCUUUCCAUACCCAUGAUUUGUCGCUUUCUACUUUUCAUCUCACUGUAUUAACCAAUCAUUCCCCAAUUGAUAAUAAGUUUGGAUGCACUAUAUAUGCACACAGCAUUUAUUCUCCAAAACCAUGUCCACUCAUUGUAGCUUCUCAACUAUUGUAAUUUUCGAUGUUCAAGCUCGAGCUUUGACCCCCCAAAAGAAAAGUGAAGAAAAAACACUCGAGUACAAAUGUACCAUUAACGUGCAAUGAAUUGAAAUGACUCCUUCCAUGCAGCAGAAAUACCUAUGUAUAAUAAAUAGGGAAUUAACAUUUGGUCCCCUGUCUGUUGGUGAAUCUGAUGAUGGAGGUGAGAGGUAUAUUUUUUGCCACAGAGGUUGAUAUCUCUCUAUCUCUCUGUUUUGCACGAUUAAAUUCUAAAACAUAAAUCAAUUCGCUUCUGUAAGAAGCGUCAGAAAAAAAUAAACUGAUUUAACAUGUUAUUAGUUAGUUGAGAGUGGUUGUUCUAAUUUAAGAAGAGGUUCAUGUGAAUGCAGUUGCGCUAAAUAUUUGGUAAAGAUAACUUUGUCGCUCAUAGCUCGAAUAAGAUUGACUAUUUGACUCAAUGAAUGAGAUGAUAAUCCAAAAAAGUUGCGGGUGGAUGUUGAGAUGAUAGACACUUUCUUAAGAUGUCAGCAUCUUAGCUGCCAUGAGGGGAGCAAAAUUCAAGUGCAGAAAUCUGAAUUUAGUAUGUAACAUUAUGUGUGUUGUUGCUUCCUUUCUCUGCUCCAUCGCUUGUUUGGGCCGAGUUUUUCACUUUUUUCAGCCUAUGAUAAAAAAGAAAUUAACAAGGUAAAAAUGGCCAUUUUUUAUGAAAAAAAAUAUAGAUAACAUACAUGCUAAAAAAGUUGAAUUAAGUUUCAUUGACACUCAUUUAAGUGGGAAAUAAGUGGAGAGAAGUGAGAUAGGAAGAAAAGAGAAAUGAAAAGAUUUAAUGAGUGAUAUAAUUGAAAGAGAAAAUAGAAAUAGAAAAGGGAAUUGAUUCAUAGACAUUCGCAUAAUGAAGAUAUUUAAAGACACCCUACCCUGUGUGAGAAAGGAAGAGAAGAAGGAGAAAUAGUUGGUGUGAUUUAUGAAAGGAGAAAGAUUUAGAGAAAAAUGAGGUGUGAUUUAUGAAAGGAGAAAGAUGUAUGCACUCUUUCCAUGUUUAACUAUCAUCACUCCAUAGAAAAUUGCAAAUGACAAUGAGAAUUUGGAGUCUGAACAUGAAAAAAAGCUAGUUGCACCAUGUGGAUGUUAUUUAUUAGCUCAGAUAGUAUUGAUGUUCCGUGGGACAUGGUGUAUUGUUGUUCUUCCCAUUUCUUUGUGAGCUCCAGAAGAUUUUUGUUUCAUGUGUAUGUAGGCUUCGGCAAGUACCACUUGUCAGAAUUAUUCCGCAUAGGCUCUUGAACCUCAUCAUCAUCAUAAUAUGGUAAAGGAUAGAUUAGCCACCAAUGAGGCCCCAAGUGUCUCAAUAAUGCUAAUUUGGAUACUCCCUCCGUUCCUAAAUAACUGACACUAUUUCUAGCUAAAUUUUGUUUCUAAAUAUCUGUCACUUUACAAAGUUUAAGAGAGCAUUAAUUAUACUUUACUAAUUGUACCUUUCAUUUAUUGGUGAUAGAAAAGUUGAAAAGUUAGAAUUAAUGAGAGAUAAAGGGUAUAGUAGGAAGUUAGAUUGUAAUUUUAUUAAAACAAGAACAUUAAUUGCUAUUUCUUAAUACUUGUGCAACAACCUUAAAGUGUCAGUUAUUUAGGAACGGAGGGAGUAUUUGCAUCCAAAUACCUCCAAAGUAUAUUGGCUUGUCAUCUUCCACUUCUUCUAUCUCACUGUUUCUCAUUUCAGCAUCGAUCCAUUCAACUUGCUUCUCCCCAUUCUUGUUAACUUGUAAGGCAUUAUACAUAAAAGUUCAAAAUGUUACAUCAAUUUCAUUAAUGCCUUAAGCUAGCUCCUUAUCUCCUAUCAAUUAUGAUAUUAAGGGUAAUAUAUAUGUUUGAUCAGUACCCCCAACCUAACUCUUAAUAAUCAUGAAUAAACUCCAAAUACAACUAACUUAUUAUGAAUUGGCCCUUAGCUUGACUUUUCAACACCUUGUACAAGAAAUAAUGCUUGGGGAGUGGGGGGACCAAUAUAUACAGAGAAGCUUGCAUCGUGAGAAUUAAAGGAGUGGCUGACAUGCAGGGAAGGGACAAUGCCAUCUCUAUUCCUCAAUAAAGACAUAUGUUUGAUGCAAUUCUGGCCUUCUUUUGGACAGGUUAGACAAGAUAUAGAAAGAUCUUAUGACAAGUGAGCUCCUAAAUGUUUUGCAUUUUUACCAAUAAAGGACAUUUAAGUGGUCGAACCCAACAAAUCCUAUAUCCCAAGUUGCUGAUUAGAAUGUGUGUCUAGCUCAUGUCUUAAAACAACGAAUUUGUGGUUCAUGGAUCAAGAAAAACUUGAUUACAAACUAAAAGAAUUUCUUGUAAAUUUAUUUUAAAUAAAAUGAAGGAAUACAUUAUUAUAAACAAAGAAUACUAGAUAUUACUUUUUAUAACAGGUAAAUGGAGGGUGCUUCAAAAUAAAAAUGCAACUGGGAAAUGGGUGGCAAAGAAUAUUGUGGACAAGGUGGGGAUGACAAAGAACAUUAACCUCCCCUCAAGUUGUGGAUGAUGUAAGGUUAAAUUAUUAUGCUGCAUAUCACAAAGUAGUAUACAGCAUGGAUGGUUAAGAAACUAGCUACUCACGUGCUUGAGGGGGCAGUGGCGGAACCCGCCGGCGACUAGGCCAUGCCAUAGUCACCCUCAAAAUUACACUUUUCUUUACAAUUUUUUUUACUAAUACUAAAAUUAUACAUGUACAACACCACCCUCUUUAAUUAGGUUUAACACCACCCUCUUCACAAGUCUGCCUCAGCGAAGGCAUGGUAGUAUGUAGUAUAGCUAGCUUGUUGUGGUCCUUUGCUGAACUAAGAAGGUUAAGAUCGAGUUGGAUAGGCGUGUAGGAAAUUUGCAGCCUAGGUUUGCAAGAUUUUACAUGUGUUUAGAAGACUACAAACAAGGGUUUAGGGCCGGAUGUAGGCCUUUCAUUCGAGUUGAUGGCUAUCACUUGAAGACUCAGUAUGUUGGGCGUCGGCUUAUAAUUUGAUUUAGAGACCGCAAUGAUCAGUACCCAGGGUUAUGUUACUCCAGUUUUUCCCCACGUUCCUGCUUCUUCCUCCUGUAGGUUAUGCAACUCUCGUCUUCUCUGAUCUGCUGUUCUUUUCUCAAUAAUAUUAAUGAUCCCCCUUAAGUUAGUGUUAAAAGGUGAAGCCCCUUCCUUCCCGGAAGAAAUGAGUCACGUCCCUUUAUGGAUUAAAAACGUGUGUUCCUUUGAGAAGGGUCAAAGUUCGAGAUCAUCGUUCAAAGUUAAAGGUUGAUCUGUCCUUAGGACAAAAUAGACAGGGCCGGAUCUGUGGUUUAGCAGGUGAUUCAUGCAUAGAGAGUUAAGGUGUCGUGUACGGCCUGGAAAUUGUGUAGGAAGAAGGAAAAUAGAAAAAAAGUAAAAGAUAUACAUGGUGGAAAUUAAACAAAGCUAAAGCAUGUUACUCAAAAACGGGAAAUGCAUAUGUUUGACUCUUGUUUAAAAUAUAA